rnacentral:rRNA from 1 species
GUACGGAGGGUGCAGGCGUUGUUCGGAAUUAUUGGGCGUAAAGCGCGUGUAGGCGGUUUCUUAAGUCUGAUGUGAAAGCCCCCGGGCUCAACCUGGGAAGUGCAUUGGAAACUGGGAGACUUGAGUACGGGAGAGGGUAGUGGAAUUCCUAGUGUAGGAGUGAAAUCCGUAGAUAUUAGGAGGAACACCGGUGGCGAAGGCGGCUACCUGGACCGAUACUGACGCUGAGACGCGAAAGCGUGGGGAGC